AGGAGUGUCUGGGACUCGUAGAAAUAGUAAGAGCAUUAUUUGUUUAUUAAAAUUUCUAUAAUAAACAUUUACAAGUAUAAAUAUCUAAUUGAAAAUUAUUUUCUCUCUAUAGUUAAUUAACCAUGUUGAGUUUAAACUUCUAGCCUAAAUCCUUGACACAAAUAGGUUGACUAGAUUAAACUACAAAGAUUGAUUUCAAAAUUUAAGAAUUGUUCUCAGCUUCGAAAAAUUGACC
rnacentral:lncRNA from 1 species